rnacentral:tRNA from 1 species
ACAUCCGGCGACGGUAGCUAACCCUGCACUCCGAAGGCAGAGGCCACUGGUUCGAAUCCAGUCGGGUGCACCA